UGGGGAAUUUUGGACAAUGGGGGCAACCCUGAUCCAGCCAUGCCGCGUGAGUGAAGAAGGCCUUCGGGUUGUAAAGCUCUUUCGGCGGGGACGAAACGGUCCGUGACAACACCACGGACUAAUGACAGUACUCGCAGAAGAAGCACCGGCUAACUACGUGCCAGCAGCCGCGGUAAUACGUAGGGUGCAGGCGUUAAUCGGAAUUACUGGGCGUAAAGCGUGCGCAGGCGGCUCCUUAAGUCAGAUGUGAAAUCCCCGGGCUUAACCUGGGAACUGCGUUUGAAACUGAGGGGCUAGAGUGUGGAAGAGGGGGGUGGAAUUCCAGGUGUAGCAGUGAAAUGCGUAGAGAUCUGGAGGAACACCGAUGGCGAAGGCAGCCCCCUGGGCUAACACUGACGCUCAUGCACGAAAGCGUGGGGAGCAAACAGGAUUAAAUACCCCAGU
rnacentral:rRNA from 1 species